rnacentral:rRNA from 1 species
AUGGCCCCGGAACCCUUUAGCCUGAUCUGGGACAUCCGCCUACCUCUGAAGAUCAGGACCUUCCUGUGGCAAUGGAUCCGUGGACGCCUCCCCUCCGGAGUUGAAGUCCUCAAGUGUAACGGCCCGGGCGAUGGGAGGUGUCCCAUCUGUGGCACGAUCGAGGAUGCUAACCACAUCUUCUUCUCGUGCUCUACUGCCCAGUUCCUGUGGGCCUGCUUCCGCGAAACGGUCGGU